GGGAUAUUGCACAAUGGGGGAAACCCUGAUGCAGCGACGCCGCGUGAGUGAUGAAGUAUUUCGGUAUGUAAAGCUCUAUCAGCAGGGAAGAAAAUGACGGUACCUGACUAAGAAGCCCCGGCUAACUACGUGCCAGCAGCCGCGGUAAUACGUAGGGGGCAAGCGUUAUCCGGAUUUACUGGGUGUAAAGGGAGCGUAGACGGCGAGUCAAGUCUGAUGUGAAAGGUGAGGGCUCAACCCUUAAACUGCAUUGGAAACUGGUUUGCUAGAGUAUCGGAGAGGUAAGUGGAAUUCCUAGUGUAGCGGUGAAAUGCGUAGAUAUUAGGAGGAACACCAGUGGCGAAGGCGGCUUACUGGACGAUUACUGACGUUGAGGCUCGAAAGCGUGGGGAGCAAACA
rnacentral:rRNA from 1 species